GCCUUCUGGAAGUUCCCGCCGAAACCAGACUGACCAUCCUUUAGAAACAAAAGGUAUUAAACUCAUGUCUUUAGUCUUGGUGUUGCUGCAAGCGGAGCGCCCUCUGACUUAACCCUGCUCUGGGACAGAAAGCAAUAUUUCAGUCAGGGUUGGUACAUGCCGGAUGCUACAGACUUCGCCUUGUGUGGGGAUCAGAAGCAGAUGGUGAUUAACACAGUCUUCAUACUCCACCACCACCACCACGCGCGCCACUCCCACUCGUCUUGGCAAUUCACCACAGCAGCAGGAGCAGUCUAUCCCAGCCUGGGCACGCGCAUGACCGACAUACAUCUGGAGGGUCUCCCAUAUACCCACACCUAGCAGCAAACAAAGGGUCUGGACACCCGUCCCCUCCCACUGUCCUGACCCCAGGCCAGAGAGGGCGGGGCUCUUCUCUCCAGCCCCUUUUCCUAGCAAGGAUUUGAAUCAUCAUUCUUAUAAAAAUGAGGAAGUGGCUAACAAGAUGGCUCAGAGAAUAAAGUGCUUACCAUCAAGUCUGCAGAUAGAAGAUCCACAUGGUGGAAGAGAGCCGACCCCUGUCUUUGAGCUCCACACAUACACUGCUAUGCAUGCCCGCCCUUCCCGUCCCCACAUAAAGAAAUAAAUGGAACUGUUUCCUUUUUCUUUUU